rnacentral:tRNA from 1 species
UCCGGGGUAGCUCAACAGGCAGAGCAGGCGGCUGUUAACCGUCAGGUUGGGGGUUCGAGUCCCUCCCCCGGAGCCA